UACGAAGGGUGCAAGCGUUACUCGGAAUUACUGGGCGUAAAGGGUGCGUAGGUGGUUCAUUAAGUCUGCUGUGAAAUCCCCGGGCUCAACCUGGGAAUGGCAGUGGAUACUGGUGAGCUAGAGUGCGGUAGAGGGUAGUGGAAUUCCCGGUGUAGCGGUGAAAUGCGCAGAUAUCAGGAGGAACACCGGUGGCGAAGGCGGGUCUCUGGGCCGUAACUGACGCUGAGGAGCGAAAGCGUGGGGAGCGAACAGG
rnacentral:rRNA from 1 species